CGUGGGAAUAUAUAUGAGAGGCAACCACAGAAUUCACUCACUUUGCUAUCAGUCAAGAUAGCUGCAGAUCAACUCCGCAUGAAUUGAUCGUCCGUUCUUUUCGCUGAAUUCGGAUUUGAGCAAUAGAAAUAGAUAACCAACACAGAAUAGGAAGGGAUUUUCAGUUAAUGGGUGACAUUAAAAAAGUCAUUAAGUGCCUUAAAAAAAAACGACUGCAAUAGAAAAUGAUGAUCGCAGCCGAGAAGGAGGAACCUAUGGAAAUCUCCGUAAUGCCUUCCAGUCACUGGAUGACUAUCGAAAGGCCAAAGAGUAUCAUGAAAAACAUUUGAAAUCUGCAA